UACGAAGGGGGCUAGCGUUGUUCGGAAUUACUGGGCGUAAAGCGCGCGCAGGCGGUCUUCCAAGUCAGUGGUGAAAGCCCGGAGCUCAACUCCGGAACUGCCAUUGAAACUGUGAGACUUGAGGAUGAGAGAGGUGAGUGGAAUUCCCAGUGUAGAGGUGAAAUUCGUAGAUAUUGGGAAGAACACCGGUGGCGAAGGCAGCCAUCUGGACCGACACUGACGCUGAGGCGCGAAAGCGUGGGGAGCAAACGGG
rnacentral:rRNA from 1 species